rnacentral:misc_RNA from 1 species
CGUUUUCGCGCGCUGCUGUUCGCCGAGCCGCAGGUUCUGAUCUCAUGGGCCGCCGGCGAAGAUCGUCCUGACAUCAGCGGCGACGUGGCGUUGCUGAUGCCGCANNNNNNNNUUUCAAUCCGCAGCGAAUUCUUGCGUUCGGAAGCUGGCUGCUUCCCGAGCAGGCGCUCACGAUGGAUCACGCCGUCGACAAACUGCGCGAGGCGGGUGAAGGCUUCCA